UAACGAGAGAAAAACGGCUGCUUCUUCUCGUCCAAACUCGCAGGAAAACAGCGUGGAAUCGCUCGGAGACACUUGUGGAAACAACGACCGGGUGGCUUUCAGCCCGAGCCGGACACCGCAGAGGAGCCGUGUGGGUUCAUUUUGCAAACCUAUUGAUCAGGGGCAGUGUGUGUGUUGUCGUUCGGACACACACUCACAGUCACAGGUUGCUAGCGGAGUUAACCUAGCUAGCCAAGUUAGCUAGCUGCGGUUAGCUGUGCCUUCGCUUUUCCUGGGACUGAAAGCAGCCGGGGCGAAACUUGAAAAAAAAAAAACUGUCAGACAUUUUCCAGACAGCCUGCCGUAUGAUUCAGUCAUGAUGUGGUGUUUUUUCGGACGUGUAUCAAGUUGGCCGGCUGGUAGCAUCGGCUGACUGAAGCCUGCUGCGAGUCUCUCGGCGUCUCCGACCUGGAUUUUACUCCCGUGUGUUUUUUUUCCUCCUUUUCCACUUUGGCUGUUUUUGGCUGUUGUUUUUAAAGCGGACUUUGACCUGCGGGUGUUGUAACUCACCCCCUUCUAUUAAGUAAAAAGCCUCUAUUGAUUCUUCUGUUGGAGUUUUUCAAAACUUGGCUGGACGUCUCUUUUUUUUUCUGGAGGUAAAAAAGUUGUUGGGAAGUUGAGGAGGUUUUUUUUUUUUUUCCGAGCCUGUGGAAAAAUGGAUGCGGGUAUAGAGAAGGAAUGCAGCGCCUUGGGAGGGCUCUUCCAGCUCAUCAUGAACGACAUGAAGGCCAGUUAUCCUACAUGGGAGGACUUUGUAACCAAAGGAGCAAAGCUACAAUCGCAGCUCAGGACGACCAUCGUGGUGACCGGAGCUUUCCUGGACGCUUUUCAGAAGGUCGCAGACAUGGCGACUGGAACCAGAGGUGAACACACACACACACACACACACACACACACACACACACA